UGACUCCACCUCCCCUCAGACGAGCCUAGAGCAAAGAGGCUGGACUUUCUGCCAAAUGGGAGAGGUUGUUAAGAAAGAAGCCUCACCUGGGCUAUCCCUGCCAUACAUUU